rnacentral:rRNA from 1 species
GACGAACGCUGGCGGCGUGCUUAACACAUGCAAGUGGAGCGACGAACCGGGGCUUGCCCCGGGGCAGAGCCGCGAACGGGUGAGUAACACGCGGGUAACCUACCCCGAUGACCGGGACAACCCGAGGAAACUCGGGCUAAUACCGGAUGAGCCCACAUCCCAUGAGGGAUAUGAGGAAAGAUAGCUUCGGCCUUCCCCUCGGGACGGGCCCGCGGCCCAUUAGCUUGUUGGUGGGGUAACGGCCUACCAAGGCUGCGAUGGGUAGCUGGUCUGAGAGGACGAUCAGCCACACUGGGACUGAGACACGGCCCAGACUCCUACGGGAGGCAGCAGUGGGGAAUCUUGCACAAUGCGCGAAAGCGUGAUGCAGCAACGCCGCGUGGGGGAAGAAGGCCUUCGGGUUGUAAACCCCUUUCAGUUGGGACGAAGCUUCGCCGGUGAAUAGCCGGCUGGAGUGACGGUACCUUCACAAGAAGCCCCGGCUAACUACGUGCCAGCAGCCGCGGUAAAAC